UACGUAGGGUGCAAGCGUUAUCCGGAAUUAUUGGGCGUAAAGAGCUCGUAGGCGGUUUGUCGCGUCUGCUGUGAAAACUGGAGGCUCAACCUCCAGCCUGCAGUGGGUACGGGCAGACUAGAGUGCGGUAGGGGAGAUUGGAAUUCCUGGCGUAGCGGUGGAAUGCGCAGAUAUCAGGAAGAACACCCGUGGCUAAGGCGGCUCUCUAGUACGGUACUGACGCUGAGACGCGAAAGCGUGGGGAGCGAACAGG
rnacentral:rRNA from 1 species